CGCCCGUUUUACCCGCGGGAAAGCCGAGGCCCGGUGCUGUAUUCUGCCGCCCAUUUUACCCGCGGGGAAGCUGAGGCCCAGUGCUGUUUAAUAUCUUACUCAUGUUCACUUGAUGAGAAAGUGACAGAUCUGAGACAAACCCAGAAAGGGACCAGCUUGACGAAGCUUCUGCUUUUGUGACUGUCUCCUAAUGAAACCAGAGCACCUCAGAAGAUCAAGGCUUCCAAAUUCUCCUGGGGGAACAGACGUCAGCCAUUCAGCACAAAGGAAACUUCCUUCUCUGUAUGUCAGAGGAAGACAUAAUUGUGCCAUUUCCUUCUUGAAGAAGUUUACAAACAUUUGCAAGUUGUCAAAAAUAAUUAGUCUAAAAUUGUUUCAUAAACCGUGGAAUGAAACAGGACGUGCCUUGUUGAGAUCAAAGGGCUUCUGUUACCUUCUUGUAAACUCAAAUGAAAUUCUUUUGAAAGUAAA
rnacentral:lncRNA from 10 species